rnacentral:rRNA from 1 species
UGGAUCCAGACUUUGAUCAUGGCUCAGGAUGAACGCUAGCUACAGGCUUAACACAUGCAAGUCGAGGGGAAACGAUAUUGGAAGCUUGCUUCCGAUAGGCGUCGACCGGCGCACGGGUGAGUAACGCGUAUCCAACCUGCCCAUCACUUGGGGAUAACCUUGCGAAAGUAAGACUAAUACCCAAUGACGUCUCUAGAAGACAUCUGAAAGAGAUUAAAGAUUUAUCGGUGAUGGAUGGGGAUGCGUCUGAUUAGCUUGUUGGCGGGGUAACGGCCCACCAAGGCAACGAUCAGUAGGGGUUCUGAGAGGAAGGUCCCCCACAUUGGAACUGAGACACGGUCCAAACUCCUACGGGAGGCAGCAGUGAGGAAUACUGGUCAAUGGACGAGAGUCUGAACCAGCCAAGUAGCGUGCAGGAUGACGGCCCUAUGGGUUGUAAACUGCUUUUAUAAGGGAAUAAAGUGAGUCUCGUGAGACUUUUUGCAUGUACCUUAUGAAUAAGGACCGGCUAAUUCCGUGCCAGCAGCCGCGGUAAUACGGAAGGUCCGGGCGUUAUCCGGAUUUAUUGGGUUUAAAGGGAGCGUAGGCCGGAGGUUAAGCGUGUUGUGAAAUGUAGACGCUCAACGUCUGCACUGCAGCGCGAACUGGUUUCCUUGAGUACGCACAAAGUGGGCGGAAUUCGUGGUGUAGCGGUGAAAUGCUUAGAUAUCACGAAGAACUCCGAUUGCGAAGGCAGCUCACUGGAGCGCAACUGACGCUGAAGCUCGAAAGUGCGGGUAUCGAACAGGAUUAGAUACCCUGGUAGUCCGCACGGUAAACGAUGGAUGCCCGCUGUCGGUCUGAAUAGGUCAGCGGCCAAGCGAAAGCAUUAAGCAUCCCACCUGGGGAGUACGCCGGCAACGGUGCAACUCAAAUGAAUUGACGGA